rnacentral:misc_RNA from 1 species
UGCUCACACAGACAGCUCGG